rnacentral:lncRNA from 1 species
ACAUGACCUCCUCUCAGGCCGAGACAUCUGCAUCAUGUUUCAUGUGAUUAUCCAAACCCCCCUAAACCUCCCAGCAUUAAUGAUAGAAGCCAUGAGGGAAACCCUGAAUAGAUCCAAGGCACAUCUGCCUUUCGGUAUGGCCCUCACAUUGGUAUUCAGGAGGUUUGGAGUUAGUUUUGAGGGGGAGGCAGCAGCUAGGCUCUCUCACUCUGACACCAUCAACCAACAUACUUUGCACCGCAUGAGAUUUACUAAGACAGAUGGUGGUUGG